rnacentral:tRNA from 1 species
UAAGAGUUAGUUUAUAAAAGAAUUAUUGACUGUUAAUCAAGAGGUUUAUCUCUUAAA